rnacentral:tRNA from 1 species
GGAUGUAGCUCAGUUGGUAGAGCGCAACCUUGCCAAGGAAGAGGUCACUGGUUCGAUCCCAGUAUCGCCCA